rnacentral:rRNA from 1 species
CCUACGGGGGGCUGCAGUGGGGAAUAUUGCACAAUGGGCGCAAGCCUGAUGCAGCCAUGCCGCGUGUGUGAAGAAGGCCUUCGGGUUGUAAAGCACUUUCAGCGGGGAGGAAGGCGGUGAGGUUAAUAACCUCAUCGAUUGACGUUACCCGCAGAAGAAGCACCGGCUAACUCCGUGCCAGCAGCCGCGGUAAUACGGAGGGUGCAAGCGUUAAUCGGAAUUACCGGGCGUAAAGCGCACGCAGGCGGUCUGUCAAGUCGGAUGUGAAAUCCCCGGGCUCAACCUGGGAACUGCAUUCGAAACUGGCAGGCUAGAGUCUUGUAGAGGGGGGUAGAAUUCCAGGUGUAGCGGUGAAAUGCGUAGAGAUCUGGAGGAAUACCGGUGGCGAAGGCGGCCCCCUGGACAAAGACUGACGCUCAGGUGCGAAAGCGUGGGGAGCAAACAGGAUUAGAUACCCAGUAGUC